AUUAUCUCAAAGACAAGCUCUCAGCCACCUGGCCAUAUAACAAACCCAGAGACUGAGAUGGAGUCCAGCCUUCUGUGCUGGCCCAUGUCAAGGAAGCCUUCGAGUGCAGGGACCUCUUUAACACCUGGGAAGAGAAUAUCAACAGGAUUCAACAGGUCACUACAUCCCCGGACAAGGAAAGCUCUGUCCUUGGGGAAUUCCAGCUCAGCAGUGCCAUCAGGCGACUAGGCAGGAGACAAGGGGUGAGGUGGGUGUGAGUCAGCAUUUCUGGCAAUGCGCCCUGGAAGCAGAGCAUACUCUGCCACUCCUCUCCAGGGCCCACAGAAACACACUGCCCCCUAUGCCAUCCACUGUGAUGGGGUUGGAGGCCGGGGUGCUCCACAUGGUGGGUGUGGACACCUUCACACUGGGCAGCCAUUACACAUCACCAAGAUCUCUGGAAGGUCUGGUCCAGUCCAUAUUCCUACUGAAGGGGUUGAACGCAAGGCUCUCUGUAUCCAUGUACAUGAUGAUGCUUUUGAGAGUUGUGCAUGUUACUAAGGAGAGUCAACCAGAAUCUUUCCUAAAAUGGUUCAAACUUUGGUAGACACUCUAGAAAUAUACAACAGAGACAGGCAGUCACAUACCUACACAGA